CAAACUGGAGAUGGCGACCGGCGCACGGGUGAGUAACACGUAUCCAACCUGCCGAUAACUCGGGGAUAGCCUUUCGAAAGAAAGAUUAAUACCCGAUGGUAUAAUCAGACCGCAUGGUUUGAUUAUUAAAGAAAUUCGGUAUGAGAUGGGGAUGCGUUCCAUUAGUUUGUUGGGGGGGUAACGGCCCACCAAGACUACGAUGGAUAGGGGUUCUGAGAGGAAGGUCCCCCACAUUGGAACUGAGACACGGUCCAA
rnacentral:rRNA from 1 species